AAGUCGUAACAAGGUUUCCGUAGGUGAACCUGCGGAAGGAUCAUUACCGAGUUCAUGCCCUUCGGGGUAGAUCUCCCACCCUUUGUAUACUAUACCUUUGUUGCUUUGGCGGGCCGCCUAGCUACUGGCUUCGGCUGGUAAGUGCCCGCCAGAGAACCCAAAACCCUGAAUUAUUAGUGUCGUCUGAGUAAAAUAUUUAAUAUUUAAAACUUUCAACAACGGAUCUCUUGGCUCUG
rnacentral:misc_RNA from 1 species